GAGUUUGCUGGGUCCGUCUCCAGUUCCUUUUGUCUCUUCCCACAUCCCCUCACUCAAGGUCUCUGGGAGCCUGGGCCUUCAGAGACAGCCCUCAGAUCACCUGAGUCGCCCAAGGAUGGAGACCUCCCCCCCAUUUUCCAGAACAAUAAGGUUAGAUGCAGAAAGGCCUGGCCAUUCCCAGCCACCACCCCCCGACUCCUCCCCAGGUGUGGGUGCUGAGAGGUGGAGCCACAGCCAGGCCUCUCCCCAUUGGGCGGGCUCCACAGGUAACCUGAAGCUGUGCUGCCAGGUGCAUAAAUAAAGUGUGGGGCUAUGGUACCACCUCCUUGAAAGGGGCCGAGUCCUUCCUCAGCCUCGCCUUGGAAAAACCAGCUUCUCUCCCUUUCAUUGUCUGUUCCCAGCUCCUGUGCUGCAAGCUCAUCUGAGCCCCCCACACUCCAAACUCUCUCUUUCCGGGUCCUUGAACUCCCCUCUCUGCCAAUCCACUUUCCUCUGCCUUCGUACUCUUCACCAUGAAGGGAGAGGGGCUGUCCGGGACCAGCCCCCACCGCCCCGCAGGACCCACUUCUGUUCUGCACGGGCCUGCUCAGCUGAACUCCCUCUAUGGCAAGGGCUUCUUGUUUCUUACUCGCUGUCCUCCAAUCUUCGGAAGGCAAGAGCAGUCCAAGGCUUGGAAUUCCUUUCCUUCUCUCGCAUGCACGAGUCUCCAGCCACCUCUUUGUUCUGAAUUCUCUCAUGAAAGUUCUUUCGAAACAAGCUCAAAGAAGGCCCUGCCCUCUGACGGUACAGACCCUGAUACCUCCAGACACGGUCGUCGCUGGAGUGUCCGCCCUGGAGGUUAAGGACCCCAGAGGUGGGUGAGGCUCUCUGCACGUGCCCAUUGAGGAUUUGAAGAAUCUGGUGGACUGUACCCACUGGGAGGGUAAGAGUGGGGUAAGAUAGGUCUGGAGGGAGAGGAAUUGCCCCCUACGCUCUCCGAGUUGGGGUUGAAAUCCAGAGAGAAAGCAAAGAAUCCUUCUGACCCAGAUCUAUGGCCUCCCAUCAUCUCCUGGCAUCGCUUAUCAGCGCCAAACAGGUUGGGGAAGGAUGUGGGGCCACUAGAAAGUGGCCACCCGAGGUGGAUCCCUAGGAGCAACACCAAGAAGGCUUACCCUCCUCUGCCUACCCGGGGCCCAAAGAGCACGCCUGCCUCCGGCCAGGUGUUCUUCCCCCCAGUUCACGCCCGCACACGGGCCGGCCGCGCAAAGCGCUGCUCAGGCUCUUUGGAGGGUGCGGGCUGGAGAGGAACUGCUCCGCCCCGCCUUCCAGGGCCCUGGUUCGAAGGCGCGGGAGACGCAUUUUCCCAAAGCGGAAAUCUCAGAACACCUGCCUCCCCAGCACGGGGGGAGGACGCCCAGCAGCCCAGCUGGGUAAAGGCAGAGACGUUUCCAUGCGGAUGUGGGUGGGAUGGUCCCUCAAGGGUGAGAAACAGCAGAGGUCCCAGCCGGGCAGCGCCGGCCCACCCCGCGGCCCCGUCUGUGCCGCAGACACAGGGAGGUUCCGGCGAGCUGGCUCUGGGCAGCUCCGGAGGGAAGUGGUCUCCGCCAGAGGGUGUGAGGACUCGGAUCUUCCCCAUUCCCCGCGACCGUGACUCCGAUCGUGGAGGCUUUCGGCCAGGCAACCAACGACCUGGUGUACCGAGGCCAGGGUUGCCCCGUGGCCCAGACUCAGCACAAGACCUCGGAACAGUCCACGUGUUUCUCUUGUCCUUCAUUCCACCGGAGUCUGUCUCAUACCCAACCAGAUUUCAGUGGAGUGAAGCUCAGGAGGCGUGGAGCUGACACCGCAGCAGAAGCGGCGACAAGAAGAGCUCUGUGAUGCACGCGGUCGCCCGCCGACUCCCGGGCCUUCGACGUCACCGCCCCUUUGGGUUACAAUGGAGACCUGAGCUCAACGACUGGCUCGGGUUCCCUCCCUACGUGGGUCCUCCAGGCAGGUGGCUGGAACUCUAUUCCCAAUCAGCAAGGAACCCUCUGCCCUGCCCCCCCCCCCCAGAGGACCCGCAGGACCUGCACAAGGGGGUUAAAAAACGACGAGGAUUUAAAAGAGCAUUUAUAUCGUAAUAAAAUAAAUGUAAAUAUGAUGGAUGUGAAGGCA
rnacentral:lncRNA from 1 species